GAUUAAGUUAUUAAGGGCGCACGGUGGAUGCCUUGGCACUAGAAGCCGAUGAAGGACGUUACUAACGACGAUAUGCUUUGGGGAGCUGUAAGUAAGCUUUGAUCCAGAGAUUUCCGAAUGGGGAAACCCAGCAUGAGUUAUGUCAUGUUAUCGAUAUGUGAAUACAUAGCAUAUCAGAAGGCACACCCGGAGAACUGAAACAUCUUAGUACCCGGAGGAAGAGAAAGAAAAUUCGAUUCCCUUAGUAGCGGCGAGCGAAACGGAAGAGCCCAAACCAACAAGCUUGCUUGUUGGGGUUGUAGGACACUCUAUACGGAGUUACAAAGGACGACAUUAGACGAAUCAUCUGGAAAGAUGAAUCAAAGAAGGUAAUAAUCCUGUAGUCGAAAAUGUUGUCUCUCUUGAGUGGAUCCUGAGUACGACGGAGCACGUGAAAUUCCGUCGGAAUCUGGGAGGACCAUCUCCUAAGGCUAAAUACUCUCUAGUGACCGAUAGUGAACCAGUACCGUGAGGGAAAGGUGAAAAGCACCCCGGAAGGGGAGUGAAAUAGAACCUGAAACCGUGUGCUUACAAGUAGUCAGAGCCCGUUAAUGGGUGAUGGCGUGCCUUUUGUAGAAUGAACCGGCGAGUUACGAUUUGAUGCAAGGUUAAGCAGUAAAUGUGGAGCCGUAGCGAAAGCGAGUCUGAAUAGGGCGUUUAGUAUUUGGUCGUAGACCCGAAACCAGGUGAUCUACCCUUGGUCAGGUUGAAGUUCAGGUAACACUGAAUGGAGGACCGAACCGACUUACGUUGAAAAGUGAGCGGAUGAACUGAGGGUAGCGGAGAAAUUCCAAUCGAACCUGGAGAUAGCUGGUUCUCUCCGAAAUAGCUUUAGGGCUAGCCUCAAGUGAUGAUUAUUGGAGGUAGAGCACUGUUUGGACGAGGGGCCCCUCUUCGGGUUACCGAAUUCAGACAAACUCCGAAUGCCAAUUAAUUUAACUUGGGAGUCAGAACAUGGGUGAUAAGGUCCGUGUUCGAAAGGGAAACAGCCCAGACCACCAGCUAAGGUCCCAAAAUAUAUGUUAAGUGGAAAAGGAUGUGGCGUUGCCCAGACAACUAGGAUGUUGGCUUAGAAGCAGCCAUCAUUUAAAGAGUGCGUAAUAGCUCACUAGUCGAGUGACACUGCGCCGAAAAUGUACCGGGGCUAAACAUAUUACCGAAGCUGUGGAUUGUCCUUUGGACAAUGGUAGGAGAGCGUUCUAAGGGCGUUGAAGCAUGAUCGUAAGGACAUGUGGAGCGCUUAGAAGUGAGAAUGCCGGUGUGAGUAGCGAAAGACGGGUGAGAAUCCCGUCCACCGAUUGACUAAGGUUUCCAGAGGAAGGCUCGUCCGCUCUGGGUUAGUCGGGUCCUAAGCUGAGGCCGACAGGCGUAGGCGAUGGAUAACAGGUUGAUAUUCCUGUACCACCUAUAAUCGUUUUAAUCGAUGGGGGGACGCAGUAGGAUAGGCGAAGCGUGCGAUUGGAUUGCACGUCUAAGCAGUAAGGCUGAGUAUUAGGCAAAUCCGGUACUCGUUAAGGCUGAGCUGUGAUGGGGAGAAGACAUUGUGUCUUCGAGUCGUUGAUUUCACACUGCCGAGAAAAGCCUCUAGAUAGAAAAUAGGUGCCCGUACCGCAAACCGACACAGGUAGUCAAGAUGAGAAUUCUAAGGUGAGCGAGCGAACUCUCGUUAAGGAACUCGGCAAAAUGACCCCGUAACUUCGGGAGAAGGGGUGCUCUUUAGGGUUAACGCCCAGAAGAGCCGCAGUGAAUAGGCCCAAGCGACUGUUUAUCAAAAACACAGGUCUCUGCUAAACCGUAAGGUGAUGUAUAGGGGCUGACGCCUGCCCGGUGCUGGAAGGUUAAGAGGAGUGGUUAGCUUCUGCGAAGCUACGAAUCGAAGCCCCAGUAAACGGCGGCCGUAACUAUAACGGUCCUAAGGUAGCGAAAUUCCUUGUCGGGUAAGUUCCGACCCGCACGAAAGGCGUAACGAUUUGGGCACUGUCUCAACGAGAGACUCGGUGAAAUCAUAGUACCUGUGAAGAUGCAGGUUACCCGCGACAGGACGGAAAGACCCCGUGGAGCUUUACUGUAGCCUGAUAUUGAAAUUCGGCACAGCUUGUACAGGAUAGGUAGGAGCCUUUGAAACGUGAGCGCUAGCUUACGUGGAGGCGCUGGUGGGAUACUACCCUAGCUGUGUUGGCUUUCUAACCCGCACCACUUAUCGUGGUGGGAGACAGUGUCAGGCGGGCAGUUUGACUGGGGCGGUCGCCUCCUAAAAGGUAACGGAGGCGCUCAAAGGUUCCCUCAGAAUGGUUGGAAAUCAUUCAUAGAGUGUAAAGGCAUAAGGGAGCUUGACUGCGAGACCUACAAGUCGAGCAGGGUCGAAAGACGGACUUAGUGAUCCGGUGGUUCCGCAUGGAAGGGCCAUCGCUCAACGGAUAAAAGCUACCCCGGGGAUAACAGGCUUAUCUCCCCCAAGAGUUCACAUCGACGGGGAGGUUUGGCACCUCGAUGUCGGCUCAUCGCAUCCUGGGGCUGUAGUCGGUCCCAAGGGUUGGGCUGUUCGCCCAUUAAAGCGGUACGCGAGCUGGGUUCAGAACGUCGUGAGACAGUUCGGUCCCUAUCCGUCGUGGGCGUAGGAAAUUUGAGAGGAGCUGUCCUUAGUACGAGAGGACCGGGAUGGACAUACCUCUGGUGUACCAGUUGUCGUGCCAACGGCAUAGCUGGGUAGCUAUGUGUGGACGGGAUAAGUGCUGAAAGCAUCUAAGCAUGAAGCCCCCCUCAAGAUGAGAUUUCCCAACUUCGGUUAUAAGAUCCCUCAAAGAUGAUGAGGUUAAUAGGUUCGAGGUGGAAGCAUGGUGACAUGUGGAGCUGACGAAUACUAAUCGAUCGAAGACUUAAUCAA
rnacentral:rRNA from 1 species